AACCCAUGAUUGGGACAUUUCCUUAGCAACACUUGUAAACACUCCUAUGCCUCAUAAAACGCCUCUGCAGCACCUUGUCUAAAUGUAGAGAUUUCAAACUUGGCAU
rfam:Lupinus angustifolius cultivar Tanjil contig_42630, whole genome shotgun sequence.